UUUUUUUUUUUUUAAAAGAGGCACUGAGGCUCUGACCCAUCUGAGCACAGAGUACAUGCUCGGCAGCCUCUGUCAGAGCAGAGCAAGUACACACAUGCUCUCCAUGCCCUGUGCUCCCAGCACCCGUGCUCCCCGCACCCAUGCUUCACACGCCCGUGCUCCCCGCACCGUCUCUCCCGCCCAUGCUCCCUACACCUAUCUGUGCUCCCCAUGCCUAUGCUCCCUGCAGCCGUGCUCCCGCACUGUGCUCCCUGCGCCCAUGUCUGCUCUCGAGCUCUCUUCCACUGGUUUCCUCUGUACAUCCCUCUUGAUAGUCACUGUCACUGUCACCUCGAAUCACCUGGCUAAAUGGAGGUAAAGAAAAAGUCUAGAGUAGCACAUUGGAGGACAGAGUGGAAGUGGCUAUUUACCAAGCAGGGCUAUGAGAUGAAGCAUCUGAUCCCCAUUAAUCCUGGCGGUCAGUUGAUUAGCCCUGUUCAACAGCUGGGGACACUGAGGUGUGGAAGGACGGGCUUGCUUACCCAGGCGAUGCUGACAGUGUGGGCCCAGCCCAGUCCCACAGCCACCAGGAGGAGGCUCCUCACUGGGCAGGCGGAUGUGCAGCCAGAGAGCGCUUGGGACCCUGGCACAGACUCCUCAGGAAGGAAACAGAAAGGCCCACAGAGACUCAAGCAGCACAGAAGAAGGUCACCCACAAGUUAAAAAUAGAUGUUUGUGCUUUACCGUCCCAGAGUGCUAAAAAUCCAACCCACUCACACGCACAGCCUGACGUGAGCCUGGCCUCCUGCAGCACUGGGCUAGCGAGAGCGUACCUGCCUCUCUCCGACAAUAGCAAACUUGGCAGCUAUUCUUCAAUGUACUUGACACGCUUCUGUGAGGAUUAGCGACACUCUGUCGACACUGGCUAAGGUUAAUCCUGACACAGCCAACCAUCUAGAUCUGCAGUGAACAAACAACUUACUUUGGAUGAUUCUGCCACUAACAAAGACCCUGAAUCUCCCACCAAAGCUUAGUGACACGACUUACCUUUCUGUUUUCAUUUCAGGUACACUGGCCCACAUGAUCUAAUUUACCUGCUGAUAAUGCCUUGGAAAGACCACCAGGGGGCCCCACACCAUUUUCAGCUUUAGAGGGAUGUGAAUUUCCCUUUGAUGAGAAGGUGAUGGGGAAAUAAAACAAGGAUCCAAAACAGAUGCCUGUGUGUUUCCUGGGAGUGAUAAAGUCAGGAACUGCCUCUGUGUGUCAGGCGGGGGAAUAACAGAGACAAUGGCACCAACUCCUGAGACAGAAGACCUGAUGCAUGGUGCAGCCACCGCCUGUGGCCAAGGAAAUUCCAGGGAAUGUAGACCCCAGUUGUAUGGUACAGCCACCAUGUGCGACCACAGAAAUUCCAGGAAUGCAGACCCUCAGUCACAUGGUACAGCCACUAUCUGCAGCCACAGAAAUUCCAGAGAGCGCAGACCCUCAGACACAUGGUACAGCCACUAUCUAUGGCCAUGGAAAUUCCAAGGAAUGCAGACCCUCAGUCACAUGAUAGUGGCUGUACCAUGUGUCUGAGGGUCUGCGUUCUCUGGAAUUUCUGUGGCUGCAGAUAGUGGCUGUACCAUGUGACUGAGGGUCUGCAUUCCUGGAAUUUCUGUGGUCGCACAUGGUGGCUGUACCAUACAACUGGGGUCUACAUUCCCUGGAAUUUCCUUGGCCACAGGCGGUGGCUGCACCAUGCAUCAGGUCUUCUGUCUCAGGAGUUGGUGCCAUUGUCUCUGUUAUUCCCUCGCCUGACACACAGAGGCAGUUCCUGACUUUAUCACUCCCAGGAAACACACAGGCAUCUGUUUUGGAUCCUUGUUUUAUUUCCCCAUCACCUUUCUCAUCAAAGGGAAAUUCACAUCCCUCUAAAGCUGAAAAUGGUGUGGGGCCCCCUGGUGGUCUUUCCAAGGCAUUAUCAGCAGGUAAAUUAGAUCAUGUGGGCCAGUGUACCUGAAAUGAAAACAGAAAGGUAAGUCGUGUCACUAAGCUUUGGUGGGAGAUUCAGGGUCUUUGUUAGUGGCAGAAUCAUCCAAAGUAAGUUGUUUGUUCACUGCAGAUCUAGAUGGUUGGCUGUGUCAGGAUUAACCUUAGCCAGUGUCGACAGAGUGUCGCUUAAUCCUCACAGAAGCGUGUCAAGUACAUUGAAGAAUAGCUGCCAAGUUUGCUAUUGUCGGGAGAGAGGCAGGUACGCUCUCGCUAGCCCAGUGCUGCAGGAGGCCAGGCUCACGUCAGGCUGUGCGUGUGAGUGGGUUGGAUUUUUAGCACUCUGGGACGGUAAAGCACAAACAUCUAUUUUUAACUUGUGGGUGACCUUCUUCUGUGCUGCUUGAGUCUCUGUGGGCCUUUCUCUGUUUCCUUCCUGAGGAGUCUGUGCCAGGGUCCCAAGCGUUUCUGGCUGCACAUCCGCGCCUGCCCAGUGAGGAGCCUCCUCCUGGUGGCUGUGGGACUGGGCUGGGCCCACACUGUCAGCAUCGCCUGGUAAGUAAGCCCGUCCUUCCACACCUCAGUGUCCCCAGCUGUUGAACAGGGCUAAUCAACUGACCGUCAGGAUUAAUGGGGAUCAGAUGCGCUCAUCUCAUAGCCCUGCUUGGUAAAUAGCCACUUCCACUCUGUCCUCCAAUGUGCUACUCUAGACUUUUUCUUUACCUCCAUUUAGCCAGGUGAUUCGAGGUGACAGUGACAGUGACUAUCAAGAGGGAUGUACAGAGGAAACCAGUGGAAGAGAGCUCGAGGAGCAG
rnacentral:lncRNA from 1 species